rnacentral:rRNA from 1 species
CGGUCCGCAAGGAUAGUGGCGAACGGGUGAGUAACGCGUAGGAAUCUGCCCCAAACCGGGAAAUACCCAGCCGAAAGGUUGGCUAAUGUCCCAUAGUCUCGCAAGAGUAAAGUUUCGGCGGUUUGGGAGGAGCCUGCGUCCUAUCAGCUAGUUGGUGGGGUAAUAGCCUACCAAGGCAGUGACGGGUAGCUGGUCUAAGAGGAUGAUCAGCCACAAUGGGACUGAGACACGGCCCAUACUCCUACGGGAGGCAGCAGUUGGGAAUUGUACACAAUGGAGGAAACUCUGAUGUCGCGACGUCGCGUGAGGGAAGAAGGCUUUCGGGUUGUAAACCUCUUUUAUUGGGGACGAUGAUGACGGUACCCAAUGAAUAAGCACCGGCUAACUACGUGCCAGCAGCCGCGGUAAUACGUAGGGUGCAAGCGUUAUCCGGAAUUAUUGGGCGUAAAGAGCGCGUAGGUGGUUUGGAAAGUUGCCUGUUAAAGCUUCAAGCUUAACUUGGAAAUCGCGGGCAAAACUUCCAAACUAGAGGAUAGCAGGGGCAAGUGGAAUUCCCGGUGUAGGAGUGAAAUCCGUUGAUAUCGGGAGGAACACCAAUGGCGAAGGCAGCUUGCUAGGUUAUCUCUGACACUGAGGCGCGAAAGCGUGGGUAGCGAACGGGAUUAGAUACCCCGGUAGUCCACGCCGUAAACGAUGCAGACUAGCUAUCAGAAGUAUCGACCCUUCUUGUAGUGAAGCUAACGCGUUAAGUCUGCCGCCUGGGAACUACGGUCGCAAGACUAAAACUCAAAGGAAUUGACGGGGACUCGCACAAGCGGUGGAACAUGAGGUUUAAUUCGACGAUAAGCGGAGAACCUUACCAGGGUUUGACAUCUACGGAAAGCUUAUGAAAGUAAGCCGUGCCCGCAAGGGAGCCGUAAGACAGGUGUUGCACGGCUGUCGUCAGCUCGUGCUGUGAAGUGUGCCGUUAAGUCGGUAAACGAGCGCAACCCCUGCUAUGUGUUAUACAUGUCACAUAGAACUGCCCCUUUAAAGGGGAGGAAGGUGGGGACGACGUCAAGUCAGCGUGGCCCUUACACCCUGGGCGACACUCGUGCUACAAUGGCAUAGACAAAGGGUUGCUAAGUCGCAAGGCGGAGCUAAUCCCAUCAAAAUAUGCCCCAGUUCGGAUUGGAGUCUGCAACUCGACUCCAUGAAGCCGGAAUCGCUAGUAACCGUGGAUCAGCCACGCCACGGUGAAUACGUUCUCGAGUCUUGUACACACCGCCCGUCAAGUGAGUCGAGUCGGCAGGGCCUGAAGUCGC